UCAUGCAUCUGUCCCUAGCCUACAGUUACUGCACCACUUGUCAAAUGCUGUCAGGCCCUUUUGUAUUUAGACAGUAUUUUUGUGAUUCUGCCUUUGCUUUGCAUUGUAUUUCAUUUAUUCACUUCAAGAACAUUUCAUAGAUUUCUGUCUAUUCCUUGUUUAAUUGGCAAAAGAUUACUAACACACAUAUUAGAAAUCAGGAAGGUGUUUAAUUUUUUUAAAAAAUCAACACUUACUGAACAAACAUUCUGUGAUGUUUAUGUAAAGCUCCAGAGACCAAAUUAUUUUUGUUUCAAGGUGACUUGUCUUGAAACAGUCAUGUGGCAAGCAAAUGACCUGUAUUCCCAGAGGGUGGCAACUUCUCUGUCGGUGGGGACUGCCUUCUUGAUUAAUUUAAGUGGCCACAAAGAGAUUUACAUUAAUCAGCUAAUUCCAAUGUUGUUUUGUUUAACCCCAUCAAGCUAAGUUAUUGAGUUUUGAUAGCACCAACUACAUACAAUGUGAUAAAUUGCAUUCGUUUCAAAUGUUUCAAUGGCUACACUGUUCUGCCCAAAGAUAUGUGUGAAACAUAGUUAUACACUGAUGAGUUGUCCAUUGAAAUCCGAUGACGACGUCUGCUCCUUUAAGGGUGAGAUCUCUGAUGAUUGUACAGUCCUAUCCUGGACCCACAAGUUCUAUUGCAGAGGUUUCUAGUUGGAAAAGAGCCCGAGGAUGCCUGAAGAAUAAAGAGCAGACACGCAAUGGAACAAUUUACCUCUUGUUCUGAAUCAUUAUCCAACUAGGCACAGCUUGUACUUUUGGACUGUGGAUUUCUUCAGACCUACAGUUUUUAUAUUCUGUGUUCUU